UACAGAGGUCUCAAGCGUUGUUCGGAUUCAUUGGGCGUAAAGGGUGCGUAGGUGGCGCCAUAAGUCAGGUGUGAAAUCUCGGGGCUUAACUCCGAAACUGCAUUUGAUACUGUGGUGCUUGAGGACUGGAGAGGAGACUGGAAUUUACGGUGUAGCAGUGAAAUGCGUAGAGAUCGUAAGGAAGACCGGUGGCGAAGGCGGCAUCCUGGACCAAUUCUGACGCUGAGUGAGCGAAAGCCAGGGGAGCAAACGGG
rnacentral:rRNA from 1 species